rnacentral:lncRNA from 1 species
AUGUUUCCCGAAAGCCUGGAGGACUCUUGCAACUUCCGGAAAACUGGAAAGGCAACGGGGCUGCCAGGUAGUGGGUCUGUGUGCACAGGCCAUCCUGACCGGCUAGAUGAUUGCAGAGGGAUGCCCCUCAAGUGCACACAGAACAUCCCUGGGGUUUCUGCACUCAGCCAGCUGUUGGCACUCAGCUUGUCCAAGGACCCUGCAGGUGCUGUGGGACAGGGCUGUUGCAAGGCCAGGACACGGCCUUUGUGCCUGCCCUGGGUUCUUAACUAUAAAGUAAGGAGGCAGCUUCCUAGGCUUCCACACUCCUUCCACAAGCCUGGCCAAUUUCUGCUGCUUCCUUUGAUCCUCCACUCACUUGCCUUGGAAAUGGACCCCAACUGCUCCUGCACCACCGGCACCUCCUGCACCUGCUCCAGCUCCUGCAACUGCUAGGACUGCCAGUGCACCUCCUGCAAGAAGAGUGAGUGGGGCCUGGUAGCAUCAGGGGCUGCUGCUGAGCUAGGGAGGGAAGACAAGGCUGGCGCUGAGCGCAGGACUCUGGGGAAUUGGGUGUCCUCUGUUCCCUGGAGAUCAUUCUGGCCCUCUCCAGGCUUUCUGCACUGUCCUGAGCUCCCAGGGUCAGGC